GGACGAACGCUGGCGGCGUGCUUAACACAUGCAAGUCGAACGGUAAGGCCCUUCGGGGUACCCGAGUGGCGAACGGGUGAGUAACACGUGGGUAAUCUGCCCUGCACAUCGGGAUAAGCCUGGGAAACUGGGUCUAAUACCGAAUAGGACCACAGGACACAUGUCCUGUGGUGGAAAGCUUUUGCGGUGUGGGAUGGGCCCGCGGCCUAUCAGCUUGUUGGUGGGGUGAUGGCCUACCAAGGCGACGACGGGUAGCCGGCCUGAGAGGGUGUCCGGCCACACUGGGACUGAGAUACGGCCCAGACUCCUACGGGAGGCAGCAGUGGGGAAUAUUGCACAAUGGGCGAAAGCCUGAUGCAGCGACGCCGCGUGGGGGAUGACGGCCUUCGGGUUGUAAACCUCUUUCACCAUCGACGAAGGUCCGGGUUUUCUCGGGCUGACGGUAGGUGGAGAAGAAGCACCGGCCAACUACGUG
rnacentral:rRNA from 1 species